UAGCCAUGAUGUGGGCAAGCACUUAGGAGGUCCUUGAGCCUUUCCUAAGAUUGGAAGAAAGUUUCUUCCUCUUUCUGUGAGAAAUUCAUAAUAGCCCUUCUAAGGGU